AUUUGAUAGAUUGGAUGACACUCGAUGAAACACAGCGUUGGCGGUAGAUUUGAAAACCCUCCCUCCAUUUUCUCCCGAAUUGUUUAAUGUUGUUUUGUUAUCCCCAAAAACACACUACCAAUUUAACAUGUACGUGUCGAAACGAUUCGCAUGUUUCUCUGAUAGAAACCACAACAAACCCCAAUCGUUAGCUAGGGUUCCCACCAUUCUCAUUUUCUGUUUGUUUGUUACUACGAAUAUUUAAUCGAAAAACAAAAAGAACUCCAUUCUCUCAAUUCGAACUUUCUAUGGCGGGCGAAGACAACACCACAGUCACAGAUACAGGUGAAUAUUUUCCCGAUCGAAAAUCUAUUGCUACUCUCGAUGUUGGCGCCGAAACGGUGCCGUUCAAGGGUGAUGACGUGGCAGAAACGGUGUCGUUGAAAGACGAUGAAGGUUUAGUUAAGAGCGAUGACGUGGCAGAAAAAGAAGAUUCCGUUCCUGAUCUUGAAGAACAAGCUGCGAACGUUGAAGCCGAAACGGCGUCGUUAAAGAACGAUGGAGUUUUGGUUGAAGGUGAUGACGUGGCAGCCGAUGAUUCUUCCGUUAAAGUUGCUGAAGCGAUAAAAACGUACGGCAGAAAGAUUAAUAAGCACGGAAGAAAGAGUGAUACAGAAAUUGCGAGGAUGAAGAUAGAAGAAGAAGCGUUAGGGAAAACGUUAGAGAACGGUGAAAAUAAAGAAACCGGUGAAGGUGAUGACGUGGCAAAUGGAGGCGAUUCAUCUGUUAAAGUUAACGCUACUAAGGGAAAGAAACGAGGCAGGAAGAGUAAAACGGAAAAGGAAGCCCAAGCGGCUGAAGGUGCUAAGGUGGCAGUUGGCGGUGGUUCUUCUUCUGUUGGUGUGAGGAAGAGUGAACGUCCGCGGAAGAUUAGAGUGAUUGAGAGUGACGUAUGCAUGUCAAUGGUGGAAGAGGAAGUUGAAAAGAAAGAGAAGAAGAAACGUGGUAGGAAAAAAUUGAAUAAUGUUACUUCUGAUGAAAAUGAAGUUGCAAAAGAGGGUGAAAUUGAAAGGAUUGUUAAGAAGGAGAAGAAGAAACCUGGUAGGAAAAAAAAGAAAGUUUCUGGUUCUGAAGAAAAUGAAGCUGGAGAAGAGGGUGAAAAUGGUAGUUUUGUGAAGGAAGAGAAGAAUAAAUCUGGUGGUAGGAAAAGAAAGAUUGCUGAGAAUGAACUUGUAUGUGAAAAUAAGUCAGAGAGUGAUCUUUUGAAGGAAGAGAAUCAGGACUGUGCUGAAGCUGAAAUGCCUUUGUCUGAUAUUAAAGGUUAUUGUUUAAGGAAUGCUGCGAAAAAGAAUAUUGAAAGCAGUGAAAAGAAGGUGCAGAAGGUGCGGAAGGUGUCAAAAUUCAACGAGAGAAUUAAGUGGAUUGAAGAGGAGUCCUUAAUGUGUCAUCAAUGUCAGAGAAAUGAUAAGGGCAGGGUUGUUAGAUGCAAAAAAUGCAAAAGGAAGAGAUAUUGCGUAUUCUGUAUAAACAAUUGGUAUCCUUACUUGGAAGAAGAUCAUAUUGCUGAGGCAUGUCCUGUGUGCUGUGGUAAUUGCAAUUGCAAAGCAUGCUUGCGAUCAACUGCACUUAUUAAUGAAAUUAAAAAAAAUGCCAAAACCAACAGUGAUCACGAGGUUGAGCACUUUGAGUAUAUGCUGAAAGAACUUCUUCCGUAUUUAAGACGCUUGGAUGAAGAACAAUUGGCUGAGAAGGAGAUAGAAGCUAAGAGACAGGGGAUCUCACUCUCUGAGGUAAAAAUAAGAUUAGCAGAUUAUCCUAAGAAGGAGCGUGUGUACUGUGACAACUGCAAAACGUCCAUAUUUGACUUCCACCGAAGCUGUACAAAAUGCGCUUUUGACCUUUGCUUAUUCUGUUGCUGUGAGCUUCGUGGUGGGCAGCUUCUAGGUGGUGCAGAUCCAAUUGAGUUCCAGUUUAUCAACCAAGGGCAAGAUUAUCUGCAUGGUGAAAUUGCAAAGAGAACGGCCCGAAAUAGUGAAUAUCAUGCUGCUGUCCAGCCUGAGAUUUGCGAGUGGUCAAAAUCUGGCUGGCAUGCAGAUUGUGAUGGUAACAUUCCUUGUCCAAAAGCCAAUAAUGAAUGUGGUCAUGGUUUCCUUGAACUGAGAAGCAUACUUCCACCUAAUUGCAUCUCUGAGUUAGUAUGUAAGGCAAGAGAGCUUGCAGAAACAAUUAAGCUUCAAGAUGCAGAGGCGACUCUCGAUAAUGGGUGUUCUUGUUUGAAGCCUGUUAGGAAUGCGGACGAUACACCAAAUAACACAAGGAAGGCAGCUUUUCGUGAUCAUUCCAGUGACAACUUUUUAUACUGUCCUAGGGCUGUAGAUCUACAUCAUGAAGAUUUAAGACAUUUUCAAUGGCACUGGAGCAAAGGGGAGCCUGUAAUUGUCAGCAAUGUACUUGAAUGCACAUCUGGUUUAAGCUGGGAACCCCUUGUCAUGUGGCGUGCAUUCCGUCAAAUAAGCAAUACCAAGCACAAUGUACUUUUGGAUGUGAAGGCUAUUGAUUGCUUAGAUUGGUGUGAGGGAGAUAUUAAUGUGCACCAAUUCUUUACUGGUUACACAAAUGGUCGAAUGGAUUGGCUUAAGUGGCCUCAGGUAUUGAAAUUGAAAGAUUGGCCUCCUUCGAAUUUAUUUGAGGAAAGUUUGCCUCGUCAUUGUGCCGAGUUCAUAUCUUCAUUGCCGUUUAAAGAAUAUACAGAUCCUUUCAAAGGCGCUCUUAACCUUGCUGUGAAGCUGCCUGAAUAUAUUCUAAAGCCAGACAUGGGGCCAAAAACAUAUAUUGCUUAUGGAUUUGCUCAGGAGCUUGGGCGGGGUGAUUCCGUGACUAAGCUCCAUUGUGAUAUGUCUGAUGCUGUAAAUGUCUUGACUCAUAUUGCUCAAGUAGAGUUGAAACCCGAGGCCAUUGCUGCCAUUAAGAAACUGACAAGAAAGCACCUUGAGCAAGACAAGAGGGAGCUACAUUGCGAUAAUCUGGAUGGAGAUACUGUUGACUUGUUUGAUAAUUUGUCUUCUUCCAAAAAUGCUUCAGACGAGCAAAAUAGUGUUCGAGUCCUGCAAAAUGAGAGUGGAAUGUGUGAUGGGAAGGUGGUUGAUCCUGUUCAUCAACAUCCUGACACUGAUGAUGAUGUCCUGCAUUCUGGGUCAGAGCUCAAAGAGGUUAAUAAAGUGAACGUCAAACAAGAAAAUUGUUCGUUGGUUGGGGGGGAUUCUUCGGAUGGUGCUUUGUGGGAUAUCUUUCGGAGAGAGGAUGUACCUAAAUUGCAAGAAUAUCUGAAGAAGCAUUUUAGAGAGUUCAGGCAUGUCCAUUGCUCCCCUUUAAAGCAGUUCUGGUUCUGCACCUUCCAGAGUGCAGAAAAAUGCAUUAGGAAGCAGAACGGAUAUAGCAUGGAAACAUGGUUUAUCUAUUGAUGGAGGAACCAAAAAAAUAAAAUACAAUUUUUGUGGAAAAACAUUUAUUGGAGGAGUGUACAGGUUGAAACACCAUUUGGCUGGUACACAGCUCAACGUUGUUGCAUGUGAUGUUGUACCUGAUGAUGUGAAGAAAACACAUGUUUGAACUUGUAAAAUCCUUGAAAGAUAAAUCAUUCAAGAAAACAGAAGAGAAUGAUACAAAUAAUGUAAAAGGAAAAAAGUCAUUAGAAGAGGAUGAGAAUGCUACCCCUGCAAAACUUUUCAAGAGAAAUGUAGUAAGUACUCAAGUCAUCAUCAACAACAUUUUUAAGAAAAAUUUGAAAGAAGAAGCGUGUCUAGAAAUAGCUUCGUUCUUCUACAAUAAUGCCAUAGCCUUUAAUGUGGCAAAGAGUGAUGAAUUUACAAGGAUGUCUGAGAUGGUUUCAAGACAUGGCUUUGGUUUUAAGCCACCUUCCUAUCAUCAAAUCUGAACAAAGUACUUGAAACAAAAGGCGGAGGAGAUAACUAAGGUCAUUGAAGAACACACACUUACUUGGAAGAAGACAAUUUGUACUAUUAUGAGUGAUGGGUGGAUGGGCAAAAGAAGGAUGACACUUUUGAAUUUCUAAGUUAACAACCCUAAAGAUAUUGUUUUUUUAAAGUCAAUAGAUGUUUCUCAUAUGAUAAAAAUUGCUGAUAAAAUAUAUCGGAUGAUUGAUUAAGUAGUAGAAAUUGUAGAAGAAAAUGUCGUGCAAAUUGUGAUUGACAAUGCAACAAAUUACAAAGUUGCUGGUGCAAUGUUAAUGUUUAAAAGGAAGAGGCUCUAUUGGACAUCGUUUGCAUUACAAUGUAUUGAUCUCAUGAAGAACAAAGGAUCAUUGGUAAGAAUGUUCACAUCUAAUGAAUGGACAUCAAGUCAAUUUGCAAAAACUAGUGAAAGGCAGAAUUUUGAAGAAGUGAUUAUGGAUAAAGAGUUUUGGAAAAAGAUUGCAAUUUGCUUAAAAGGUGCUUAUCCACUAAUCAAAGUGCUUCGUUUAGUGGAUUCAGAUGAGAAACUAGCAAUGGGGUUUAUUUAUGAGGCAAUGGACCAAGCUAGGUAGAGAAUUCAAGCUGCUUUCAAUGGUGUUCAAAGAAGAUUCAAGCCUCUAUGAGAUAUCAUUGAUGAAAGGUGGGAUAAACCACUCCAUUGGCCUCUACAUGCGACAUGCUACUCUACCUUAACCCUCAACUACAUUACAACCUUGGAUUUAAAGCUGAUUAUGAAGUAAAACUUGGGUUAUAUGAUUGCUUACAAAAGAUAGUGGGAGAUGUUGAAUUUUUUUUGCAAGAUUGAUGCUCAACUGGAAGAUUUCAAGACACAAACAAAGUUUUUUGGUAGUCCGAUAGCAAAUGCUGCACUUAAAACCAAACCUCUAUCACAAUGGUGGGAAUCAUAUGGGGAUGAGCGUUUAGAACUUCAAACUUUUGCAAUUCGUGUGUUAAGCUUAACUUGCAGUUUAUCCGGAUGUGAACGAAAUUGGAGUGCUUUUGAGAUGGUCCACACAAAGAGGAGAAACCGUUUGAAAGAAAAGACAAUAAAUGAUGUUGUAUUUGUGAUGGCAAAUUCAAAAUUAGUUAAGAAGAAGCAAACUAGAAAUGUGGUAGAACAUAACCUUGAUGAUCUUGAAUCUGAUGAUGAAUGGAUUGUAGAUAACAAUGAAUGUUCAACUAAGAAUGACAUUUUAGAUUUCACAAUAGAAAAUGAGGAUUUAGAAUUUGGCAAACAAAAUGAAGUAAGGAAUGGAGUUGAAGAUCCUGCCCCUCAAGAUGAUAUGGAGAUUCACAACCUUGAUGAUGAGUUUGAUGGAGAAGGAUAUGAAGAUUGUAUGGAAGAUGUUGGUUUUGAUCACAAUGCCUUGGAUGUAUUGUUAAAUUUAAGUUUUAGAUGUUGUUAGAUGAUGAUGAUAGGUUUUGUUUUUUUGUUUGAGACAAUGGUAAUAGCCUUUUGUGUUUCAGCUUGUGACUUUUUAUUAAACCAAUGAAAUUUUUUAUGUUAA